ACGUGAGCAGUUAGUUAAUACUCGGGACUUCAUUUUCAUAGUGUGUUUAACAAUACAGAGUGCUUUUAAAUAAUUAUUUCAUCUAAUCUUAACAAUAACUCCAUGAGAUCGGCAGGGACAUCUUGGCAACAUAAGAACAUCCUAAACGUCAUUCUCACAAGACAAAGGCCUACUCUUCCUACUUUAGAACACGGGUACUCCCCAGCUGCUGGAGCUUGGAGAACGUUUAUAGACUGAAAGAAAGGUGCCUGGAGACAUGGAGAGAGUGACGAUUAAUAGAGCAAGGUCCAGGAAGAUAAGGCUGAACCCUGGAUGUGGCAAGAAGAAUGUCACUGGGUUCUACAUGCAGGAGAGAGUCUGCACUGUCCAUCUCAGGAAGUAGAUCAUUGGAUAUGCAGAGACCGGAGUUAAAGAACCCCACAAGAUGGGAUAUAUAUGAGUCUGACCGAAAUGGCUGAGUUGUGGCCCAAAGAUGCCAAGCAUUGGCAGUUUGGUGCGCUUUUCAAGACCGUUUUGAAAAUUUAUUAACCAGUCACCUUCCUCCCCGUCUUCUUGUCCUCCAGAUUCCACAGUAUGCAGCCUACCUACUUAUUCAUCCAUCCCUCCACUAAUGGACACCAAGUUUGAUGGCACUGGGGGCCUUGAGCCUGGGACACCAGAACAGACAGAGAAUGUGAUAUCUACUGGACAAAUAGUUUGAACAGUUUUCUUCUAUUUAAUAAAUUAAAAACCUGGCCAAUUUUGGCAAGCUGACCUAAUCAAGUCCUGGUAAUUACGAACAGUGAAUUUCGGAAGAAGCAACCUUCAGAUAAUUUGCUAGAACAGGGACUGCUGAUCACUUGGCCAAAUCUGCCAUCCAAAACUCUCAACUUUAUGCAGUUUUCCAGACUGUGCCCUUGACCUUAAAUAUGACUGUUGAAAAUGAAACAUUUUCUUAAAAAUGCAUAAAGGGAAAGAAACAGUCCAUUGUAGACUUGUGGCAAGUGGGCUUGAGCUGGAGCUUGAACAGUGCCCAGCUGAGCAGGUCAGGGGAGCAGGGGAGUUUGGAAUAAGGUCCUGAAGAGUCUCAUGGGAAACCAAGAGUCUCAUGGGAAACUCCUACUGAGACACCUUGACCUUCUCUCAAUUACCCACCCCAGGACCAUCCAGUUCCCGUUUAGUGCACUAAACAAAGUAUUUAAUAUUAGCAACCCCCUACUUCAGGUAGAACUAUGGAAGAGAAUCGUAGCCAUUUGGGGGAGUCGGAAGAAUGCCAACUUUAGAGGAAGCUCCUGAUGAUGUUGAACAGGAAGUAUCAUCUAGUUCAAGAACUUCUUAGCAAUAGAGGAAACUCUUCCAGGUAAUUGAAGUACCUGGAAUUUGUUCUCAACUUAGAAGCUUUUCACUUCCUUCAAAGAGUGAGUGAUUGCAAAAGCCCUCUCAAUACUCUACCGAAGUACUGAGGGACCCUGAGAGCUGCAUUUCCAGGCAGAGCAGGUGACAAGAUACCUGGUUUCAGCCUAAACUGUGAAAAAUACAUAUUGAAAGAAUUGAGAUUUCCUACAUUCCAGCAGUAUGUGGAUUCCUGCCAUAGCCCAUAUUCAUGAAUAUUAUUGCCAAAGAGAUGGCUGAACUUAGAGAAUGAACUUUAUGUACAAAUGGAGAGCAAAUUUUCUGCAGAUGGGAUUAACAGCUAUUGACAGCACAAACUCUUGGGUGAGGGAGAAAAGGUUUAAUGGACAACGGAAGGAAAGGAGCCGAGUUGAACCACAGAGAGAGACUUCUGGAUCAGAAUAUCUAAGGGUUUUUACCAAUUUACAUAAGAGGGAGGAUGGGUUCCUAUAAAAACAAUUGUGUAUUAUUCGAGGUGUUGCUUCCUGCCCUUGGCUCAGUAGCUCCAUGUCUAGAAUGUAGGAAGCACUCAGUAAUAGUUUUUAGAAUGAAUGAAUAAAUGUAAGCAGCUUCAAUUUAACUGGUGGCUGUUGCAUAGAGUUCAUUUUAUUUAUUUAUUUGUAUUAUUAAGAUCUUAUUUUUUUAGGGGCACCUGGGUGGCUCAGUCGUUAAGCGUCUGCCUUUGGCUCAGGUCAUGAUCCCAGGGUCCUGCGAUUGAGCCCCGCAUCGGGCUCCCUGCUCAGUGGGAAGCCUGCUUCUCCCUCUCCCACUCCCCCUGCUUGUGUUCCCUCUCUCACUGUC